UCUGGGAUUAGAUACCCUGUUAUUUAAAAUGUAAUUUAAAAUACUUAGGUAGUAAUAGUUAUGUUCUUGAAACUUAAAAAAUUUGGCGGUAUUUUAGUCUAUUCAGAGGAACUUGUUUUAUAAUCGAUAAUCCACGUUGGACCUUACUUAAUUUUGUAAUCAGUUUAUAUACCGUUGUUAUUAGAAUAUUUUAUAAGAAUGUUAAUUUUCAUAAUUUUUUAAUAAAAAAUAUAUCAAAUCAAGGUGUAGCUUAUAUUUAAGUAAAAAUGAGUUACAAUAAAUUUAUUUAAAUGAAUAUAAAUAUGAAAAAUUUAUUGAAGGUGGAUUUGAUAGUAAAAUUAUAUAGAUUAAUAAUUUGAUUUUAGCUCUAAAAUAUGUACAAAUCGCCCGUCACUCUCU
rnacentral:rRNA from 1 species